UUAGUCAGGAAAACUGAGAUGGGCAG
rnacentral:piRNA from 1 species